rnacentral:rRNA from 1 species
UACGUAGGGGGCUAGCGUUGUCCGGAAUCAUUGGGCGUAAAGCGCGUGUAGGCGGUCCGGUAAGUCCGCUGUGAAAACUCGGGGCUUAACCCCGAGCCUGCAGUGGAUACGGGCAGACUAGAGGUAGGUAGGGGAGAUCGGAAUUCCUGGUGUAGCGGUGAAAUGCGCAGAUAUCAGGAGGAACACCGGUGGCGAAGGCGGAUCUCUGGGCCUUACCUGACGCUCAGGUGCGAAAGCUAGGGGAGCGAACAGG